rnacentral:rRNA from 1 species
UACGUAGGGCACAAGCGUUGUCCGGAAUUUAUUGGGCGUAAAGAGCUCGUAGGCGGUUUGUUGCGUCGGCUGUGAAAACCUGAGGCUCAACCUCAGGCCUGCAGUCGAUACGAGCAGACUAGAGUGUUGCAGGGGAGACUGGAAUUCCUGGUGUAGCGGUGAAAUGCGCAGAUAUCAGGAGGAACACCAGCGGCGAAGGCGGCAUCCUGGCCCGUACCUGACGCUGGAGGCGCGAGAGCGUGGGGAGCAAACCGG